GCCAACGCGCCCCGCACCCCCGUGCACUGGCGGGCCCUCCCCUCGGGCGUUGCCUCCCACCCACGCCCGGCGGCACCGCACCCCGAGGCGCUUCACGUCACGGAGCUGCUAGGAGACGGGCGGGGCUCCGGUUCCGGGUAGAGGCCUGGGACACGGGGAACUGUAAGGAUGGGAGGAAGGCCGCGCAGGGGCACCAGUUCUGCCGCCGCGGCCUAGCGCCCCAGGUCCCGGAGAAGGGGCACCAGGGCGGCCAGGGGCCCAAGCUUCCGGGGCACGCUCACCCGCGCAGGACUGAGGCCGCGUCCGCUCCCGCUCCCGCUCGGGCCGUCUCCCCCUUCCAGGCUCCAGGCCAGGCUUCCGCCCGACAAGCCCUGACCCGCUCGUCAGGACUGCGGCCCGGGGUUGGUGGUGCGGAGCGGAGCGGAGCGGAGCGUAGAGUAGAAUCCACUUCCCCGGGUUUUGGGAGGGGGCCGCAGCCCGCUUUCCGGGCGGCGGGGAGGCGGGGCCACCGCGGGGGCGGAGCUCGGCUGGGAGCCGGCAGUGGCUUGGGAGGGAGGGAGGGAGAAGGAGAGGGGCGGGAAGGCUCCUCGCGUUUUCCACGCCCCCGCCCAGCUCUGGGCUGGUGGUAAAUCUCGGAACUGGUCCGGGCUGGGCGAGUUCUGGACGGAGGGGCACGUUUGGGAAUCCUCUUGGAAGAAUUUACGUAAUCGAAUGGGCUGGGACUGGUGGAAAAGAGUUGGACCGUCCGGAAAGAAGCAGGAGGGCGGCGCGGGGGCCUGGCACCCUUAGAAAGUGGGAAGUGUGAGUGUAAAAGGGAGGGGCACUUCUGCCCGUUGGGCCCAAAAACCCUUUUCUGGCUUUAGCUAGUAGAGCCACUCAAAAUUUAAACGGAGUCAGCUUGAUGUGGCAUAUAUGAUAAGCUGGAUAAUAUUUCCUGCACCACCGCACCCCUCCCCCCACCCCAACACCAACAAGAAAAUAACACAAGUCACGGUUCUUGUUCCUUGUGGGCUGACAUUUCCCUGUUUUGCCAACCUCUGGAGCCACGUGUCCCAAGCAGCUUGUAGUUGAGAAGUGAUGGGGGAGAGGAGACAGCACGGGAGAGGAAGGAGGGAAGCCAGCUUAUAUUCAGGUGCCUUAAGUAUUUAAAAAUAUUUUCAGUGUAAUAGUCGAUGCAUUCAAAAGAGCAUAUUUACCAAAUAUGUAAAAUUUAAAGUAUGCUAAUGAAACUAUCACUCCACCACGUUAUCAGUAUUUAGCAUGUAUCUAUGCAUCUCCAGGAUUCUACUCCUGGCCUCUUAGCUCACCACCACUAUCUUCAGUUUUGUCCCUCUUUGCCAUUUUUAGUGGUUUUAUCAUAUUUGGAUGCAUUCCUGUGUAUUGGUGUAUUUUUCUUCUUUUUGAGCUUUAUAAAAAUACAUAUAGCCUGGAAUUCGCUUUUUAUCACUCAACAUUUGUUUUUUUGGUUCAUCCAAGUUGUUACGUGUAGUAACAGAACAUUUAUUUCUUACUGCCUAGUCAAAAGGAAGUUUUCUCCUGUCAGGAAUGUAUUCAAUACUGUAGCGGAUAGGAUUAUAAAUGCACUUUAAGUAUUUUCUUUAUUGAUGGGAACCACACAGACUAAAUGUAUCAGACUUCCCAAGUUCGUAGGUCACAUACCUAUAACAGAACUCUUUUCCUGGGUUUUGUGACAUUUCUAAUUGUUGUAAUUUCUUUUGCCAUUAUAAAAAUUAGUCACUUUUGAACCUAAUUUGUAUUCAUCAUUCUGAAUCUUUUUCUUUAAAAGCCUCCUCUUUUCCAAUUAUAUAAGCUCAUACCCCAUAAAACCUGAAUCUGCCCCUAGUAAUUACUAAUAAGGCUAGUAGGAGCAUUCUUGUUCACCUUCUGUGCAUGCGCUGGACUCUAAUUUGAACCUAGGAUUAGCACUGCGGCAUCAGAGGCUAUGGGGGCUGUUCAGCUUUCAAAGAUAAAGCAGAAAUGUUUUCAAAGUGGUUGUACCAAUCUAUACUGCCACCAGUACCGACCACAAUUCUCUCUAAAUCCUCGUUAUUUUCACACUUCUUACUUUUUGCUAGUCUACCCAGAAUAAAUACCAUGUUUUUGUCUUAAUUUGCAUUCCGUAAUUACUGAUAAGGCUGAGCACUUUGAAAUAUGUUAUUCAUUCAUGUUUUCUCUUCCUCUUCUAAGGAUGUGUGUGUGUGUACAUAUAUAAAUGUAUAUAUAAUGUAUAUAUGUAUAUAUAAUGAAACAUUCUUUUGUUAAUUGUAGGUGUUGCAGAUAUCUUCUCCCUGUUUAUAGUGUGUUUUCAAAUAAAAAAAUUUUUUGACUUAUUUUGAAAAAAUCAACCUUAUCAAAAAGUUUCAGAAUUAAUGAACUCCUGUAUACCCUUCACAUAAGUUCACAGUUUGCUAUAUUUGCUAUAUUAGUGUGUAGGAGAGAUUAUAUAUAUAAAAUAUGUAUACUAUAGAUAUAUAUUUUUUUCUGAACCAUUUAGGAGUAAGUUGUAGCAUGUGUCUCCAAAGACAAUGAUAUUCUCUUUUAUACUCACAGAAAAAUGUUCCAGUUGAGGUUGUUUGUUUUUUGAGACAAGGUCUCACUCUGUUACCCAGGCUGGAGUGCAGUGGUGCGAUCUCGGCUCAUUGCAACCACCUCCCGGGCUCAAGUGAGGCUCCCACCUCAGCAUCCCGAGUAGCUAGGACUACAGGCACACCCCACCUGUUAGAGAGAAUUUUUUUGUUGUUAGAGAUGGGGUUUUGCCAUGUUGCCCACGGUGGUCUCCAACUGCUAGGCUCAAGCUAUCCACUUGCCUUGGCCUCCGAAAGUGCUGGGAUUACAGGUAUGAGCCACUGGGCCUGGCUCAAAUUUAGGUAGUUUAACAUUGAUGAAGUAAGAGUAGCUAGGACUACAGGCACACCCCACCUGUUAGAGAGAAUUUUUUUGUUGUUAGAGAUGGGGUUUUGCCAUGUUGCCCACGGGGGUCUCCAACUGCUAGGCUCAAGCUAUCCACCUGCCUUGGCCUCCGAAAGUGCUGGGAUUACAGGUAUGAGCCACUGGGCCUGGCUCAAAUUUAGGUAGUUUAACAUUGAUGAAGUACGAGUAGCUAACAUGCAGUCCUUAUUGAAAAUUUACUAGUUGUUCCAUUAAGGUGUUUUAGAGCUAUUUUUUUCCCCUAAUCCAGGAUUCAGUCCAAGAUCUUUUCAUUUUCUUUAUGAAGUGUUUUUUUUUCUCUGUUUUUUUUUUUUUUUUUUUUUGAGACGGAGUCUCUCUCUGUCGCCCAGGCUGGAGUGCAGUGGGGCGAUCUCGGCUCACUGCAAGCUCCGCCUCCCGGGUUCACACCAUUCUCCUGCCUCAGCCUCCUGCGUAGCUGGGAGUACAGGCGCCCGCCACCACGCCCAGCUAAUUUUUUAUAUUUUUUAGUAGAGAAGGGGUUUCACUGUGUUAGCCAGGAUGGUCUCGAUCUCCUGACCUCGUGAUCCGCCCGCCUCGGCCUCCCAAAGUGCUGGGAUUACAGGCGUGAGCCACCGCGCCCGGCCUUUUUUUUUUUUAAAGAGACAGGGUCUUCCCUCUGUCACUCAGGCUGGAGUGCAGUAGCCCGAUAAUGCUCUAUGGCUAGUCUAUGGUCAAUUUUCAUAUAUUUUUAAAACCAGAGAAGAAUGUUUAUUCACCAUUAGAUAGAUACAUGAUACUUGCAAAUAAAUCAAGCUUGGUAUUUCAGAUAUUCUAUAUCUUUACUAAUGUUCAUGUUCAGAUUUCCCCAUCAGUAUUUCCCCGUCAGUAUUUCUCUUACCUGUUAGUAGAUAAAAUAGAUCAAGCAAUCAGUCUCCCAUUAUAAAGGUAGAUGUGUUCAUUUUUCCCUGUAGUCCAGCAAUUUUAGUUUUGUGUAUUUUGGGGGCCAUUUUAUUUUAGAAUCAAUAUUUGUAAAGCAAUUCAAGCAUUAAUGUGUCAUGGAAUCUUAGGUUUGAAUGCAUUCAUCAGAGUCCAAUCACCACCCCUUGCUACUCUCCAUACCCUUGUAGGAGGAAUUAUUUUAUAGCACCCUGCUACAGGACCAACUGGCUUGUUGAAUGCUUUUAGAGACAGGGCGCUUCCCACCUUACAGGGCAGUCCAGUUCUUCACUGGAGAGCUCCAUGAUUAUACUUACUAUUUAAUUAGACUCUCUAUGGCUAGGCAUUGUGCAAAGCAUUUUAGAAACAUUGUCAUAUUUAAUUCUCACUGUAAUCUUAUAAAGUAGGCAUUUUAUCCCCAUCGUACUAAUGAAGAAACAGGUUUAGGUAAUUAAGCAUCUUGCCCAAGGUCACACAGCUAGGUAGUGGCACAGCAGGAAUUGAAGCCCAGGUCUGUCUCCUAAAUCCACUAGACUACACUGCCUUCAAGCUUUUCUUUAUGUAAGUAUAAAACCAUAUCCCUUUAACUUUCAAUCAGGAAACCUGGUUCCAAAACCAUUUUUAGUGUUCCUAAACUUCCUAAUCUGUUGGAAACCUUAGACAUAACUCACAUUCAUGUGUUCCAUUACUGUGCCCAACUUUCCUUAGUUUUCUUAUGGAAGCUUUAGACCUUUGCUAUAUGUUUGUAUUAUUGUUACUUUUGGAAAAGUAGCCAAUCUUGAUGAGCAGGAUGAUUCAUUCUGAAUGAAUGAAUGAAUGAAUGAAUGAAGCCUAGUGAGUAGCAACUCAUUUCUACAUAUGAGUUAGGAUGCUGGAUGAAACCUAAUUUUUAACAUCAAGUUCUUCACCUUUCAAGGUUAAUAAGUCAAACCUCAGAGCCACUCAGGUCUCACUUGUGGCUCUUUCCUACUCUUUUCUUUAAUCAAAAAGCUCAGAAUCAGGUUUCCUCUUAGGUUGCACCAGAGCACAGUAUAAUUAAUCUAAACUCCCAUUUCUGUUUUCUUCACAAAAGAUCUUCACGGAAAUGGUUUUAUGAUGGUCUUUUAAUUGUGGGGCCACAGAAAACAUUAUUUAUAGUAGGUCACAUGGAAAUCACAGAUGGCGUUACUAAUUCAAUUUUAAUAUGCUUUAUGGCAGGGAGGGAUGGGAAAGUAUACAAAGGUGACUCAAUUAGACAAGAGUUGUGGAAUGCAUACAUCCUACAUAACCAUUCUAAGAGUUUGCCUUAAGCUGUGUCUUAGAACAGGAAAUGCUGCAAUAAUGUGAGCUGACCUGUAUGUUAUUCUCAUGUGCUGUUGAAACAUGUAUAGAAAUAAUAAUGCCUAGCAUUCUUUCAUCUUGGGAAACUUCAGUCUCACACGUAUUAGUUUAUAGCUACUCCUUACUCUUUAAUAUGUGAGGCUUGGAAAGCCCGUAUAAAUUCUGAUCAAGGUGGAUACAGGAAAGCACAGUUUAAUAGUAUUUAACUGCCAUUGAUUUUUUUUUUCCACUUGUAUCAUCACAAUGAAUCAGAUCAGAACUUGGACCUCAGUACUUUUUCUGCCUUUGGCAUCUUUUCCUGAUAAGUAGUAUGACCAAGUAUUCAAAUUCUAAGAAUUGAACUAUUUACUCAUUCAACAGAUUUACGACAUUUGCCAUGUGCCUAGAACUGGGAAUAUAAUGAUGAAAUAGGAAGUCAUAGUCUUUGCCCUCACCAAGCUUCCAGCAGGCAGGUGGAGGAGGGAGACAGACAAUUCCACAGUAAGUGCGGAUAAGGGAAUUACAGGGUUUCAUAGGAAUGUAAGGAUGGGUACAUAAGCCAGACCUGCUGAAUCAGGGAAAGCUUCCCAGAGGAAAUGGCAUCUAAACUGAGAUCUAAAAGCUGAAGAGGAAUUGGGACAAUUAAAAUAGGAAAAAGAAGAGGAAGGAAAGGCCCAAAGUGAGAUAUAGCACAUCCAAGGAACUGAAAUAAGUUAGAUAUUAGUCUUCUUAGAUCAAGUUAUACUGCAGCAACAAAUGACCCCAAAAUGUCAGUAGCAUUUAACAGCGAAGAUUUAUUUCUUUAUGCUGCAAUAUGGAGAAAUGAUAGUGGGGGAUGCUAAAAUAUGGAGAGAAGAAUGUAGAGGGUAAAACCGAGGUAGGAACCUGAGGCAAUAUUUCAGCCUGAAGAGGAGCGUGGCCUGAACUUUAGGGUAGCCUGAAUUAGUGGCAGUGGAGAAAAAGAGAAGUAGACAGAAUCAAGAGAUAAAGAGAAAGUUAGGUCAAUAGUUCUUCUUGAUAGAUAGGACGUGGAGGGUGAAGGAGAUAGAGUCAUGGUUGACACUCAAGUUCAAUAGGUCAAUAGUUCUUCUUGAUAGAUAGGACGUGGAGGGUGAAGGAGAUAGAGUCAUGUUUGACACAAGUUCAAUACGCACUACAUAGCUUUAUAGUAACCACAAAACAUGAUGAUGAAAACUUUUAUAGAGAGGAAUUUAAUACUUACGAUAACAUGAUAAACAUUUUAAUGUAAUAAUUUUAGAAAUGUCAUCCUACUAAUCUCAUAUACAUCAUAGAGUUUGUGAUCUCAGUGAUCAGUAUUAUUUUUUCUGCUCAAACUCCUGGUACAGAUACAUUCACAGAAGUACGUAAUUCUUGUCAGCAAAGCUUCUGGGAUGACAAUUUAGGAGAUGCCGAAUUAAAAUGAGGUCUAUUUUACCACUCUACAUUCAUCCUAAAACUUGAACUUAGAAAGAUGUCAUUGAAUGUUUAGAAAAAUAGACCGCUGCUGAGCUAUAAAAUCUACCUUUGUAAACUUUAGCAAAGGAAGGCUCAGGCAGGUUUCACUAGAUUCAAUAUUGCAAGGCUGUCAUACUCUGAGGACAUCAUAUAUGAGCUAUGACCAUUAGCAUACUUAGAAACCUGCUGCCAAUAUGACCAGGCGUGGUGGCUCAUGCCUGUAAUCCCAGCACUUUGGGAGGCCGAGGCGGGUGGAUCAUCUGAGGUCAGGAGUUCGAGACCAGCCUGGCCAACAUGGUGAAACCCCAUCUCUACUAAAAAAUACAAAAAUUAGCUGGUCGUGGUGGCAGGCACCUUAAUCCCAGCUACUUGGGAGGCAGAGGCAGGAGAAUCGUUUGAACCCAGGAGGCGGAAGUUGCAGUGAGCCAAGAUAAAGCCAUUGCACUCAAACAUGGGGACAAGAGCGAGACUUCUCUCAAAAAAAAAAAAAAAAAGAAACCUGCUGCCAAUAUGCGUUAAUUUUCCAGAGGAAAAAGUAUUGUGCUGGAUUCUCCCUUUCAAGAUUAGGCAUGUUCAUGGGACAUUAAACUUUCAAAAAAUGAAGAGAAGAGCAUCUUAGGUUUUCCCAAGGCAACUCUAAAUUUCUCAGCAGGGGACAAAUCAAGAGCACCAAUUUGGAUAUUCUUUUAUCUGGUAACAACCUCCUUUUCUUCCAGCUUUACUUUGUUCAACUUCUCCCGUCAUGAUCAUUUUCAAUCACACUGGGACCAUUAGUCUAUUAAUUUCUCUCCCAACAUGUCUGUCAUCUUCUGUCUUCCUUUUGCAUCUUAUCCCACUUAUAUUGUGUACUUUCAGGAUUUAUUUCAGCACUGCAACGAGCCUUAGAUAUUUUACUGAAAUCAGAAAUGUUCCAGCACUGCACAGAUGGCUGUACUGAUUAAGAGUGUUGUUUUGUAACCAUGGGCUAAGGAGUUGAUCCUCUGGCAUCUUCCAAAGGUGACCUAUGAGCGUGUGUGUUUUUUUUUUUCCUUAAUCACUAUGGACUCAAGGAUUUUUUUUUUCUUUUUUUUGAGACAGAGUUUCACUCUGUCACCCAGGCUGGAGUGCAAUGGCACGAUCUCGGCCCACUGCAGCCUCUGCCUCCCGGGUUCAAGCGGUUCUCCCCCCUCAGCCUCCUGAGUAGCUGGGAUUACAGGCAUCUGCCAUCAUGCCCAGCUAAUUUUUGUAUUUUUAUAGAGAUGGAGUUUCAGCAUGUUGGCCAGGCUGGUCUUGAACUCCUGACCUCAGGUGAUUCGCCCGUCUCAGCCUCCCAAAUUGCUGGAAUUACAGACGUGAGCCACCGCGCCUGGCAGACUCAAGGAUUUAUUUUAUUUAAUUUAUUUUUUGAGACAGGAUCUUGCUCUGUUGUCCAGCUGGAAUGCCGUGGCAUGACUUAGGGUCACUGCAGACUUGACCUCCCUGACUCAAGCGAUCCUCCUGAGUAGCUGGGACUAUAGGCACAGUACCAUGCCCAGCUAAUUUUUUAAAAAAUUUUUUGUGGAGAUGUGUUUCUCACUAUGUUGCCCAGGCUGGUCUCCAUCUCCUAGACUCAAGUGAUCUUCCUGCCUGUGCCUCCCGAAGUGCUGAGAUUACAGGUGUGAGUUACUGUGUGAGGCCAGACUCAAGAAUGUUUAACAUAUUUGAUGCAUUUCAGUUAAUUGCACUUACUAUUCUUUGUGAAGCUUAAAUUGUCCCAUCUUUGACAGUGGGAACCUCUUCAAGGUGGCUUUAGGGUCUUUUUGACACAUAAAACCCAGUAGUCUUUGAAAGUUUCCUUGCUUUCUGGUGUGAUGGAGCUUGUUCCCAGCUCAUCUUACUUUUUUUUUUGAGUUGGAGUCUCGCUCUGUCGCCCAGGCUGGAGUGCAGUGGUGGGAUCUUGGCUCAUUGCAACCUCCACUUCCCAGGUUGAAGCGAUUCUCCUGCCUCAGCCUCCUGAGUAGCUGGGACUACAGGCACAUGCCACCAUGCCCGGCUAAUUUUUGUAUUUUUAGUAGAGACGGUAUUUCGACGUGUUGGCCAGGCUGGUCUCGAACUCCUGACCUCACAUAAUCCACCCACCUCGGCCUCCCAAAGUGCUGGGAUUACAGGCGUGAGCCACCACGCCUGGCCCAUCUUACAUAUUUUUGUCCCAGACUGAGAAUCAGCCAUUUCUAUCAGGAGCCUGGGUUUCUGAUUCCCUUUGACAGAAAAUGGUAUUUAUAGGCCACAGCCUAGGCAUGAGAGAUGCUAAUUGCUACUAAAUUGGUUAUGGUUUCUAAGCCUUUUUAGUGGACAGAGCUCAGACAUUCU
rnacentral:lncRNA from 1 species